CGGGACGGGGUGGAGUAAUGUCUGGGAAACUGCCUGAUGGAGGGGGGUAACUACUGGAAACGGUAGCUAAUACCGCAUAACGUCGCAAGACCAAAGAGGGGGACCUUCGGGCCUCUUGCCAUCGGAUGUGCCCAGAUGGGACUAGCUAGUAGGUGGGGUAACGGCUCACCUAGGCGACGAUCCCUAGCUGGUCUGAGAGGAUGGCCAGCCACACUGGAACUGAGACACGGUCCAG
rnacentral:rRNA from 1 species